ensembl:lncRNA
CAGCUUGCUCACCAUGGCUCAGGACCUUCCCCAGCUGCACCAUGCAAACAGGCUGGCCCUCCUCUGCAAAGCACACAACACAAGUCCCCAAGUACACGCCAGCUCUGUCUGACAACGAUCUGCACACACACUCACUGUUUCCACUCUGUCUCUGAAAGACUCCAAGGCAGAGGGUCAGGUUCAUCUCCAAAUGGACUAGAGGAGAUGGGAUGCAGUGACAGAUGAGGAGGUGGCCAAGAAAAAGACUCCAGCCAACACAGGUGCUGUUAUUCCCACAGAGAAGAGUGAGACUCAUGCCCAUGAGGGAAGGGAGCACGGGCUACUCUCUAGCUGUGGUGCAUGGGCUUCUCACCGCAGUGGCUUCUCACCUGUGCCCAGCAGUGGCAGCUCCCUGGCUCUGGGCACAGGCUUAGUAGUUGAGGAACACAGACUCAGUUGCUCUGCAGCUUGUGGAACGUUCCUGGACCAGAGAUGGAUCUCAUGUCUCCUGCACCGGCAGAUAGAUUCUUUACCACUGAGCCACGAGAAAUUCUUUUCUAGCCUGCACACAGACCACCACAGGUGAAAACAAAGAAAAAAGUAUGAUAUCCUCCCCCAGGACAAACUUUAAAAAUCUUCUCCUUUCUGGUCCCUCAUGACUGGGGUGAGACUCGAUCUGUUCGACAGUCAUAGAGAACAAGGCCCAGCCCCUCAUUUCACCCAGAAAUAAAGCUGAGGCAAGAGCAGCUAAGGGACUUACCUGAGGUCGCACAGCCACACAGCAGCAGAGCUGGGCCUGGGCUCUAGAUGUCCUGCUCACAGGCGACUUCUUUCCCACUCAGGACUGACUUGUAAUUAUUUCUGGAAACAAUGCGGCGCUAAACUAGUCCAAAUACGCUAAGGGUAACAGCUAACUCCCUGAGAGACAAUUACACAGCCUCAGUCUGUUUCCCGACUUAAGAAUACACGACGCUCCUCCUGACAGGAAGCUCCCCGCACCACAUGGUAGCGGCUUUUCCCUCAAACUAAACCCGCAAAACAAGGAAAGCAGCCCGAGGGAAAACCUUGGAGCCCUCCGGGGAACUUUCAAGCCCUUGACAGAAUCUUCGAGGCCGCCAGAGAACUUUUGAGGCCUCGCGAGAACCUUCUAACCCUCGCGAUAACCUUCGGGCCCUCUGCCGCGCAGCCCUCCACGGAAGGACUGCGCAGGCGCAGGCGCAAACACUGCCAGCCACGUGGACUCCUGCGCGGUGCAGAUGAUCCGAAUAGCACUGACCAAGCGCUGCAGCACCGCGCUGGAGGUAUCGGCGUGGUGGCUAAAUCGCUGCCCCAGAGCAGCUCUAGGCCCUUUCGACACGUGGUGCAGUGGAAACAAGAGUCGUCGUUGUUGUGCUUGUCGAGCUCCUCCAGGAACUUGUCCUGCUGGGCAGAGGCAGAGCCUAACUUGCGAGAGUAGGUGGAAAGGGCCGGCGAUGUUCCUACCAGAGGACAAAGGGCGCAUCCAAAGGAACUGGCAAACUACAAGCCUUGGAACAAACCCCGCCUACCACCUGUCGUUUUGUUUGGCAGGGCACCUGCACAAAGAAUGGCUUUUACCUUAUUUUUUAAUAGUUGGGAAAAAGUCAAAAGAAUAUUUUUUCAUGGCAUGUGAAAGUCGUUUGAAAUAAAGAUUUCAGUGUCCAUUAACAAAGUUUAAUUGGCAUUGUAAAUAUGUAUUGCUAGUGAGCUUUUUUUGCACUGUAAUGGCUGAGUCCAGUGGUUGUGAGAUGGUUUCUGGAACUCAUGGCUUCCUGCUGCCCCUUGGUGCGUUGCAAACCACAGUCAGGUG